rnacentral:rRNA from 1 species
GACGAACGCUGGCGGCGUGCUUAACACAUGCAAGUCGAACGGAAAGGCCCAGCUUGCUGGGUGCUCGAGUGGCGAACGGGUGAGUAACACGUGGGUGAUCUGCCUCUAACUUCGGGAUAAGCUUGGGAAACUGGGUCUAAUACCGGAUAGGACAAUCGUUUAGUGUCGGUUGUGGAAAGUUUUUUCGGUUAGGGAUGAGCCCGCGGCCUAUCAGCUUGUUGGUGGGGUAAUGGCCUACCAAGGCGUCGACGGGUAGCCGGCCUGAGAGGGUGGACGGCCACAUUGGGACUGAGAUACGGCCCAGACUCCUACGGGAGGCAGCAGUGGGGAAUAUUGCACAAUGGGCGCAAGCCUGAUGCAGCGACGCCGCGUGGAGGAUGACGGCCUUCGGGUUGUAAACCUCCUUCGACAGGGACGAAGCUUUGGUGACGGUACCUGUAUAAGAAGCACCGGCUAACUACGUG